UACGGAGGGUGCAAGCGUUAAUCGGAAUUACUGGGCGUAAAGCGUGCGCAGGCGGUUUGUUAAGUCCGUUGUGAAGGCCCCGAGCUCAACUUGGGAAUUGCAGUGGAUACUGGCAGGCUGGAGUACGGUAGAGGAAGGUGGAAUUCCCGGUGUAGCAGUGAAAUGCGUAGAGAUCGGGAGGAACACCAGUGGCGAAGGCGGCCUUCUGGACCAGUACUGACGCUCAUGCACGAAAGCGUGGGGAGCAAACAGG
rnacentral:rRNA from 1 species